UAUUCAGAAUAAGUAUGAUACUACAUUGAUUCCUCACAUUUCCAGAUGAUGUGAUCAUUUGGACCAUGUUUCGUUUUUGUAGCAUGUCGUGUGUGAAUCUAUAAAAGCUCAGUUCUUUCUUGCCCUCUCUCAGACCUUUUUGUACAGGCCACUCGCUCUGGGAGUUGUCCGUGCUAUAUGAUAAGUCCAAAAUGCCCCCCUCUUAGGAACGAGCUCUGGAUGUUCAACAACUUUUACAUGGUUUCGCUUUACUCACGGCCCCCGUCUUCCCCGCACAGAUGUUGGAUACAUUACGAAACCUAUGAACAAUAAAGAAUGGCUUAAAGUUCUAAGGCUGCAAACAAAAGAAUGUUCUAAUGGCAGCAGCUUAUAUAUAUAUAAAAAAAGAUAUUUGGACAGGUUUAGGAUUCAAUUACUGUGUGAUUGAGUGUUGACAUUUUUGAGGCUACAUGACAGGAAAUUCAUUAGAAGCAGAGCAGCUUGGGAAGGAUUGCGGGCUGCCGUUAAAGGAAAUGGGUGAUUGCGAAAAGAAUGCUGCCGGAGGUAGAGAGGGCGCUGGAACAGAUGUUCAUGAAAAGCCGAUUGUAUUCCUUCUGAUGGUCGGGCGGCUGAAGUGGAGGUAGGCAGUGGAACAGAUGAAAGAGAAGCUGAAGAAUAAGAGUGUGGAACUCGCUCUCGUUGCCCGCAGUGAGGCAGAGGCCAGAGAGAGAUGCAGAUGGGCGCAUCCUCAGGUAAUCCAUCCAUUUAUGAGAAGGAUUGAUGGAUCUGAGGCAAACGCAACUGAGGUAAAGCCCACAUCUAUCUUGGCUAAGGGAUGUGGUCCACCGACAGGCUGGGAGGAGGAAUUACACGCACGAGCACGACGGCCCCUCAUAAAUCACUGCCGCCCAGGUACACCGUGA
ensembl:lncRNA